GACAUUAGGUGUAAAUGUUAAAAUGUUGAAGGGUCUGUCUUACCUAUUUUGUUGUGGCUGCAAAAGUACUGAAAUUGAUGAAUUCGAUGAGAUAGAUGUAAAAAAACCUUAUCUUAGCAUUGAACAAAAAGGGCCAUUUAAAAUUUUUGAACUUAGUGAAAAUCCUCAAAUGAUCAGAAGUGAAAAAAGGAAGCUGAGCAAUUCUGACUCUGAAGGAGAACUUGAUAAAAAAUUGAUGGAUCAACUGCCAAAGACACUGAAGCAAUUCAAGGAUCAAUCAAGGACAACGAAGCAAUUUUUGUUACCUGAUAAGUUACACAGAGAAAAGAAUCAAAAACUUCAUUUGAAAUCUGUGGUACCUAAGCAUACAAAACCUGAAAAUAGAAAAUUAGAGUAUGAAACUAGUUUUUCAAAGCAGUCUUACUCACCACAUAGCACUCCACCAAGAUGUAGGAAAACAUCAAGAAGCUGUGAUGGUUGGUAUACUCUUAUUGCUUUGCUUAUUUAAAUUUGUUUCAUGUAGAUUUCAGUGAUAAAUUUCCAAAAAUUGACCAGAUACCAGUAAAACAAGUCUCAAGAUCUUCUUCAAGCAAUGAAAUUUAUUCUACCCCUCCAAGUGAUAGGAAAGCACUGAGUCGGAAGGACAAGCCAUUUUACCCUCCAAAAUCUCUUUCACAAGACGCAAUUUCAAAACAAAGUUCUAGAUCUAGUAUCAGUUCUGAUCUUUCAGGUAUAUGUAAUAAUCCUUCAAACUCAAGUUCUGGUAAAGACAAAACUUUAAAUGUUCAUUGGCAUGCAAAACUAUCUGGGGUUAAAUCACAGAGAGUAAAUUUGGAAAUUUGUGGGCUUAUAAACCUUGGAAACACUUGCUACAUGAAUUCAGCACUGCAAUGUUUGGUUCAUACAGAACCAUUAAGAGAGCUGAUAGAACCCAAAGACAAGAAUGGAAGUAGGACUCUACACACUUCUCAACCAAGUGACCGACCUCUAGCUAGUACCUUUUCUCUGCUUAUUAAAGACAUGUUUAAGGCAUCAGGUCUAGCAAGUUGCAAUCCA